AAUCAAUUUGUUCUUUCUUCCUCUUAGGUCACAGUCAACUUUUUUUUCCUCAUAUUAUAUUGUCUCUUCAUUUUCACCACAAAUUUUAAGCUUAAAACUAAUUUUUAGCAUCAUUCGUUUCCUAACAUUAUGUAUAAAUGGAUGUAUACAUACAUAUAAAAGAUGAAAUUUUCAAUUUAUAUUAAGUAACUGGGAUUGGCGGCAUAGAGAUGCAAUCAGAAUUCAAUGUGCACUAUUCCA
rnacentral:lncRNA from 1 species